rnacentral:tRNA from 1 species
GGUGGGUAUAGCUCAAUGGUAGAGUGCAUGCUCGGCAUACAUGAGGUCCUGGGUUCAAUCCCCAGUGCCUCCA